rnacentral:rRNA from 1 species
GAUGAACGCUGGCGGCGUGCCUAAUACAUGCAAGUCGAGCGAACAGACGAGGAGCUUGCUCCUCUGACGUUAGCGGCGGACGGGUGAGUAACACGUGGAUAACCUACCUAUAAGACUGGGAUAACUUCGGGAAACCGGAGCUAAUACCGGAUAAUAUAUUGAACCGCAUGGUUCAAUAGUGAAAGACGGCUUUGCUGUCACUUAUAGAUGGAUCCGCGCCGCAUUAGCUAGUUGGUAAGGUCACGGCUUACCAAGGCAACGAUGCGUAGCCGACCUGAGAGGAUGAGCGGCCGCACUGGAACUGAGACACGGUCCAGAGUCCUACGGGAGGCAGCAGGAGGGAAUCUUGCGCAAUGGGCGAAAGCCUUACGGAGCAACGCCGCGUGAGUGAGGAAGGUCUUCGGAUCGUAAAACUCUGUUAUUAGGGAAGAACAAGUGUGUAAGUAACUAUGCACGUCUUGACGGUACCUAAUCAGAAAGCCACGGCUAACUUCGUG